AAGUCGUAACAAGGUUUCCGUAGGUGAACCUGCGGAAGGAUCAUUAAAGAGAUAGGGUCUUCAUGGCCCGACCUCCAACCCUCUGUUGUUAAUAACUACCUUGUUGCUUUGGCGGGAACCGUCUCGGUCUCCGAGGCGCCACUAACCCUCGGGUUGGUGAGCGCCCGCCAGAAGUCCAACCAAAACUCUUGUAUUAAAACCAGUACGUCUGAAGUAUAAAAUUUUAAUUAAAUUAAAA
rnacentral:misc_RNA from 1 species